ACAGCAAGGAAAAACAAAUAUGAAGAAAACGCUUUGAUUCAUAUAUAUAGAUUGAAAAAAAGAAGAAGAAGAAGCAGAAUUCGAUCCAUUACCAACACAUCACGUGAGGUCUCAGCUUGAAUGCAUGAUUGAGUUUCUGUUUCUGCUUCUUUUAGGAAAGCACCAAAAGCUUGCAAAGUGAGAUUUCCACCAGGAGAAAAAGUUGUUGGUAGAUUUAAGAAUGCCAGUACUAAAGCAUGGAGGUGCAAAGCCUUUAUUUUUAUUUUUAUCUUUCUUGUCUUUUGGGCAUAGCAUCUCUAACUUUAGAGGAAGGGCGCCAGUCCCCCCCCUGAAGAAUCAGGCCAUGAAAACAAUGAAAAGGAAGCCCUAAUCAGUAACAUACAUGGGAUAACAACGCUUCUAGGAAGCAAUUAAACAUGCUAUUUCUACCGUAAACAACACAGUAAUGCUCCCUACAGGUGACCACAUGAUAUCUUGAAGCUUGCAACUUGGAUAAGAGUCUGUUGUUGCUGUGGACAGUCCGUCACGCGCGCCCUCUCGCUUUUGGUAAUAGCAUCUUGAGGGGAUUAACCUUUUUCAGUAGCCAUAAUAAAAGAAGAUGAAGAAAAGGAAAAAGAAGAGAGUGAAAGCAAUAAAGUGACUGGCUAAAGAUGUGGAGCCACUGACCACUGAUGAUAUACAUGGGCGAGUGAGUGUGUAUUGAUUUUUACUGUGCAACGGAGAUUCAGAGAUCGGCGUAGAUGCAUACACUGCCCAGCGGUAGAUUCUCAACAGCAGGAAAAAGAAGGAAACUUGCGUGGAUUGCAGCAGCAACAAUGAUUCUCAAAAUGAGCUGUUGCAAAAAUAAUCAGUACUGCUUCAUAAGGUCCUUGAGGAUAUGAUUAAUGCAUAAGACCAUAUGGGAAACGAAGUGAAUCUUAAUUAUUAUUAA